AAAAAAAAGAAGAAAAAAGCAGAGGUGUUUAACUUUUCAGCCAUUCACUUGAUUCAUGCAUAAUCCCCACAAUUUUGCAGAAAAACUACUAAAGCAGCUUGAGUGCUGUAAGGAGAGGUUUGAAGUGAAGAUGAUGCUCAUAAACCUCAUCUCCAGAUUGGUGGGAAUUCAUGAGCUCUUCCUCUUCAAUUUCUAUCCCUUUUCGCAAAGGUUUCUGCAGCCUCACCAAAGAGAAGUAACAAAGAUCCUCUGUUUGAUGCACAAGCAUCUCAUCACCUAGUACCCCCAGAGAUUAUUCAAUCAUUGCUUAUGACUGUGGCAAACAAUUUUGUUACCGACAAGAACUCUGGAGAAGUCAUGACAGUAGGAAUCAAUGCUGUAAAAGAGAUAACACCUUGAUGUCCUCUGGUCGUGACUGAAGAACUCCUCCAAGACCUGGUUCAUUAUAAAACACACAAGGAUAAGAAUGUAAUGAUGUCUGCUAGAACUUUGAUUCAGCUCUUCUGAACACUGAAUGCUCAGAUGCUGCAGAAGAAAUUUCGGGGUAAGCCUACAGAAGCCUCCGUAGAAGCAAGAGUACAAGAAUAUGGAGAAUUAGAUGCUAAAGUUUACAUUCCAGGAGCAGAAGUUCUGGAAGUUGAGAAAGAAGAGAAUGCUGAAAAUUAUGAAGAUGAAUGGGAAAAUACCAGUCUCCGUGAGGAGGAGGAUGCUGAUGGUGAAUGGAUUGAUGUGCAACACUCUUCCGAUGAAGAACAGCAAGAGAUCUCCAAGAAGCUGAACAGCAUGUCCAUGGAGGAGCGGAAAGCCAAAGCUGCAGCCAUCAGCACCAGCUGAGUUUUAACUCAGGAAGACUUCCAGAAAAUCCUCAUGGCCCAAAUGAGAAAAGAACUUGAUGCUGCCCCCGGGAAAUCCCAGAAGAGGAAAUACGUUGAAAGAGACAGUGAUGAAGAGCCCAGGGGUGAAUUACUUUCUCCUCGGGACAUUGAACGCCUUCAUUAAAAGUCAAAGUCUGACAAAGAGACAAGACUAGCAACUGCAAUGGCUGGAAAGACAGACCGAAAAGAAUUUGUGAGGAAGAAAACCAAAAUGAAUCAAUUUUCCAGUUCAACAAAUAAAGAGAAGGAAAAACAGAAGAACUUUAUGAUGAUGUGGUAUAGCCAGAAUGUCCGGUCAAAAAAUAAGCAUUCCUUCCAAGAAAAACAGUUGGUGCUAGGAGAUGCACUUUUGAAAAAGAGAAAAAGAAUGAAUUAA